rnacentral:rRNA from 1 species
UUAAACUGUCUCCUUUUUCUUAUCAGUGAAACUAAUCUCCCCGUGAAGAAGCGGGGAUAAUUCUAUAAGACGAGAAGACCCCAUGGAGCUUUAAACCCAACUACACUCCUCUUAACUUUACUUUUAAAUCUUGAGGACACUGUAUGUUCUGGUUUUAGGUUGGGGUGACCGCGGAGCAUAAACUAGCCUCCACAAUGAAUAGACCUCCUCUUUAUCCUAGAUUUACACCUCUAAGAAUUAGUAUUCUAACAUAAAAUGAUCCGAUAUUCGAUCAACGAACCAAGUUACCCUGGGGAUAACAGCGCAAUCUACUUUAAGAGCUCCUAUCGACAAGUGGGUUUACGACCUCGAUGUUGGAUCAGGGUAUCCUAGUGGUGCAGCAGCUACUAAAGGUUCGUUUGUUCAACGAUUAAAACCCU